GUCACGGCUUAACUACGUGCCAGCAGCCGCGGUAAUACGUAGGUGGCAAGCGUUAUCCGGAUUUAUUGGGCGUAAAGCGAGCGCAGGCGGUUACUUAAGUCUGAUGUGAAAGCCUUCGGCUUAACCGAAGAAGUGCAUCGGAAACUGGGUGACUUGAGUGCAGAAGAGGACAGUGGAACUCCAUGUGUAGCGGUGGAAUGCGUAGAUAUAUGGAAGAACACCAGUGGCGAAGGCGGCUGUCUGGUCUGCAACUGACGCUGAGGCUCGAAAGCAUGGGUAGCGAACAGGAUUAGAUACCCUGGUAGUCCAUGCCGUAAACGAUGAGUGCUAGGUGUUGGAGGGUUUCCGCCCUUCAGUGCCGGAGCUAACGCAUUAAGCACUCCGCCUGGGGAGUACGACCGCAAGGUUGAAACUCAAAGGAAUUGACGGGGGCCCGCACAAGCGGUGGAGCAUGUGGUUUAAUUCGAAGCUACGCGAAGAACCUUACCAGGUCUUGACAUCUUGCGCUAACC
rnacentral:rRNA from 1 species